CCUACGGGCGGCAGCAGUCGAGAAUCAUUCACAAUGGGGGAAACUCUGAUGGUGCGACGCCGCGUGGGGGAAUGAAGGUCUUCGGAUUGUAAACUCCUGUUAUGUGGGAGUAAAUUAAAAAGAUAGUACCUCUUUUGGAAUAGUCUGCUAACUCUGUGCCAGCAGCCGCGGUAAUACAGAGGUCUAAAGCGUUGUACGGAAUCACUGGGCGUAAAGCGUGCGUAGGCUGUUUCGUAAGUCGUGUGUGAAAGGCGGGGGCUCAACCCGAGAACGGCACAUGAUACUGGGAGACUGGAGUACAGGAGAGGGAAGCGGAAUUCUCGGUGUAGCAGUGAAAUGCGUAGAUAUCGAGAGGAACACUCGUGGCGAAGGCGGGUUACUGGACUUUAACUGACGCUGAGGCACGAAGGCCAGGGGAGCGAAAGGGAUUAGAUACCCUGGUAGUC
rnacentral:rRNA from 1 species